AAUUACUCCUCCGGCAUCUCCAUCCUCCUCCUGCUGGUCGCCGCUGUGUAACGCUAAACCCCGCAGCUCGAGUGUGUGUGGGAGCUGUGGACGGACUGGGAGGUAACACGGCUCCGUUGUCGGGCUGAGCGCAGAGCAGGAAGUCAGGAAGUCUCCAGCCGUGUUUCUGGCAACGAAAAAGUGCUAACCACCACCAGCACCAGCAGAUUGUUCAGUUUAAAGUUCUAUGAUUGAUUUGACACUGUAGGCUGUAAACUGCAAACUGAAAAUAAAAGUCUCAACAUAAACAUCCA